rnacentral:rRNA from 1 species
AUUGAACGCUGGCGGCAGGCCUAACACAUGCAAGUCGAACGAGUGGCGGACGGGUGAGUAAUGUCUGGGAAACUGCCUGAUGGAGGGGGAUAACUCCUGGAAACGGUAGCUAAUACCGCAUACCAUCAGCAUUGCCCAGAUGGGAUUAGCUUGUUGGUGGGGUAACGGCUCACCAAGGAGACGAUCCCUAGCUGGUCUGCGAGGAUGACCAGCAAGUAUGGAACUAAGACACGGUCCAGACUCCUACGGGAGGCAGCAGUGGGGAAUAGUGAACAAUGGGCGCAAGCCUGAUGCAGCCAUGCCGCUUGUAUGAAGAAGGCCUUCGGGUUGUAAAGUACUUUCAGCGGGGAGGCGUUACCCGCAGAAGAAGCACCGGCUAACUCCGUGCGAGCAGCCGCGGUAAUUC